AUGUGCCCCGCGUCCACUGCGGUUCUGAGCGCUGCGUCCGCGCCCGCCUGACAGCGGCUCGCUACGUUUUGUUAGCC
rnacentral:sRNA from 1 species